AUUGAACGCUGGCGGAAUGCUUUACACAUGCAAGUCGAACGGCAGCACGGACUUCGGUCUGGUGGCGAGUGGCGAACGGGUGAGUAAUACAUCGGAACGUGCCCAGUCGUGGGGGAUAACGUAGCGAAAGCUACGCUACUACCGCAUACGAUCUACGGAUGAAAGCGGGGGAUCGCAAGACCUCGCGCGAUUGGAGCGGCCGAUGGCAGAUUAGGUAGUUGGUGGGGUAAAGGCUCACCAAGCCGACGAUCUGUAGCUGGUCUGAGAGGACGACCAGCCACACUGGGACUGAGACACGGCCCAGACUCCUACGGGAGGCAGCAGUGGGGAAUUUUGGACAAUGGGCGCAAGCCUGAUCCAGCCAUUCCGCGUGCAGGAUGAAGGCCCUCGGGUUGUAAACUGCUUUUGUACAGAACGAAAAGGCUCUGGUUAAUACCUGGGGCUCAUGACGGUACUGUAAGAAUAAGCACCGGCUAACUACGUGCCAGCCGCCGCGGUAACAC
rnacentral:rRNA from 1 species